rnacentral:rRNA from 1 species
CCUACGGGAGGCAGCAGUGAGGAAUAUUGGACAAUGGCCGUAAGGCUGAACCAGCGAAGUCGCGUGAACGAAGAAGGAUCUAUGGUUUGUAAACUUCUUUUAUAGGGGAAUAAAGGUAUCCACGUGUGGAUAUUUACAUUUACCCUAUGAAUAAGCAUCGGGUAACUCCGUGCCAGCAGCCGCGGUACUACGGUGGAUACGAGCGAUCUCCGGAUUUAUUGGGUUUAAAGUGACCGUAGGUUGUUUUUUAAGUCAGCGGUGAAAUUUAGUGGCUCAACCAUACAAUUGCUGUUGAGACUGGCAGACUUGAGUUAGAUUGAGGUAGGCGGAAUGCGAGGUGUAGCGGUGAAAUGCAUAGAUAUAACGCAGAACUCCGAUUGCGAAGGCAGCUUACUAAGCCAUAACUGACACUGAAGCACGAAAGCGUGGGGAUCAAACAGGAUUAGAUACCCCUGUAGUC